UCCAGAUCUUGCAUUAUGGUUCCGAUGCAGUAAUUAUGCGGGCUCUCUUUGUAAAAGACCCUAAUAUCUAUACUCUGCUUGCACACACUCGAUGAGAAGUGACCUAUUUAACAUAUAACAAGCGAUCUGAGCUAAGGAGAUAGUUUGAGGUUUUUAAAAAGACUCACCAUAAGAAAAAAUAUCAGCCUCAAUGUGUAGAAUUCACACAUGCAUGACCAGAAAACAGGCUUCAAUCUCCAUGACUUGUUCCAACACACAGGCAGAGUCCAGCAUGGGUCCCGGAAGCGAAUAUGACCACAUCCUAGCACAAGUGAGAAGAUAAUAAAACUCAUACCAAUACGACGACCACGUUCUUCAUGGAUCAUUCCGGCCAGGGUAAAUAGGCCGAAAACCAGGAGGGAAAAGACGACGGUCAGCGCCUCCAGGUCUCCCAACACGGACGCCAUCGUCAUCCAACACGGUGCUGUCUACUCAGUGGGCUCUGCUGGCCAUUUGUGUCCACGUCGCUUCCUUUUUUUUUUUUAAAACCAUUUUAGGCGUGUUCAAGCA